rnacentral:sRNA from 2 species
GUCUAGGUGGUUACGCCGUAGAGUGAAAUCUUUUUUUUCCUCCUUUUUUCUUUUUUCUUUUUUGGCAAUGAAUGCAUUGCAAUUCUCACCAGUUCUACACCUUUUUUGGACCGGGGAUCCUGUCUGCUCCUCACCUCAGGCUUCGGGUUGGUGAGACAGGUUGCACCCUCCACUGACACUGUCUCCGAAAGUGUUGUCAUUGAUGGCCUUGGUGAGAAUGUUAGGGAAGGCGUGGAUGGGUGGGAUCAUGAGCCCUCUAAUAUAUCCCUGUAGGUCAAGUGCAUGGAGGAGAUAUUGAGACAGACAGACAAAAGACAAACUCACAAUCUUGGAAGAAAGCCUGACUACGUCGAGGUCUUAACUGCUAAACUAACUACAUAAAAAGCGGCCCAUAAAAGCUUUUUGGUCGAUCUCUAUACACUCAGCAGCCUCGGGCGAUUCUGUUGAUCGAGUCUUCCGCGGGUCUGUGAACCAAACUCGGCUUCGCUGCCAUGCUUUGGCAAAUGAGGAUGAUGAAGGAAGGAAGGGUGAGGGGUGUCUCUGUCUGGAGAAAGAAAGUUAUGACUUUGGAUUGCGCCGGGCGACGCAAGGUGAUAGAUAAAUGGCCAGCACUCCCACAAAGGGGCCAGAGCUAAUCAAGAAAUAACUUGCAUGGCACUCAAUGGCGUAGGAGUGGUUACACCCAAGACGAAAGAUUUGAUUUUCCCAGGAAAUUACCCCUACAUAUUAGAUAUGCGGGUUGUCAAAGGUCCUGAGAAUUUACAAUUCGAUGGAAGGGUAGGAGGUUGAUUGACUUCAGAUACCCUUGCAGCGGAUAUAGUUAUUAAUAGUUGCUGCUAGUAAUAUAUUUUGAUCAGUUAACUAGUUAUUCUAGACG